GAUGAACGCUAGCUACAGGCUUAACACAUGCAAGUCGAGGGGCAGCGGUAUCGAAAGCUUGCUUUCGGUAGCCGGCGACCGGCGCACGGGUGAGUAACGCGUAUCGAACCUGCCUCAUACUCGGGAAUAGCCUUGCGAAAGUAAGAUUAAUGCCCGGUGUUUUCAGAGUCCCGCAUGAGGCUUUGAACAAAGAUUUAUCGGUAUGAGAUGGCGAUGCGUCCCAUUAGCUUGUUGGCGGGGUAACGGCCCACCAAGGCAUCGAUGGGUAGGGGUUCUGAGAGGAAGGUCCCCCACAUUGGAACUGAGACACGGUCCAAACUCCUACGGGAGGCAGCAGUGAGGAAUAUUGGUCAAUGGGCGGAAGCCUGAACCAGCCAAGUAGCGUGCAGGAAGACGGCCAUCCGGGUUGUAAACUGCUUUUAGUUGGGAAUAAAACGGGGCUCGUGAGCCCCCUUGCAUGUACCAUCAGAAAAAGGACCGGCUAAUUCCGUG
rnacentral:rRNA from 1 species